rnacentral:rRNA from 1 species
CAGCCCUAAACGAUGCGCGUUAGGUGUAUCGGUGACCACGAGUCACCGAGGUGCCGAAGGGAAACCGUGAAACGUGCCGCCUGGGAAGUACGGUCGCAAGGCCGAAACUUAAAGGAAUUGGCGGGGGAGCACUACAACGGGUGGAGCCUGCGGUUUAAUUGGACUCAACGCCGGGAAGCUCACCGGAUAAGACAGCGGAAUGAUUGCCGGGCUGAAGACCCUGCAUGACCAGCUGAGAGGAGGUGCAUGGCGUAGUCGUGU